UACAGAGGGUGCAAGCGUUAUCCGGAUUCACUGGGUUUAAAGGGUGCGUAGGUGGGUUGAUAAGUCAGUGGUGAAAUCCCCGAGCUUAACUUGGGAACUGCCAUUGAUACUAUUGAUCUUGAAUACCGUGGAGGUCAGCGGAAUAUGUCAUGUAGCGGUGAAAUGCUUAGAUAUGACAUAGAACACCAAUUGCGAAGGCAGCUGGCUACGCGAAUAUUGACACUGAUGCACGAAAGCGUGGGGAUCAAACAGG
rnacentral:rRNA from 1 species